UAUCUCCAGUUGAAACAAUAUACACUAUAUUAUGUAUAAAUGUAUACACACUUCCUAUAUAUAUCCAUAUAUAUAUAGUGUAUAUAUUAUACAUGUAUAGGUGUGUAUAUGUGCAUAUACACACACAUGCACAUAACAAAUCCAGAUGCUCAUUACAAAACCAGAUGCUACAGGAACAGCAGCAGAGGAAACAAGGUUGGACUCUUGCAACAGAUCACAAAAAAUAAAAACAGCCACUUGCAGUGACUUUGGUCAUUUCUGUAUGUUCACAAGGAAUGGAUUGUAACAAAGAAAAAAGGAACAGUGUUAGUGAAAGAGGAAAAAAUGGGCGAAACCAUCUUGAUCCAAUGGGAAUGCAGUAAUGUUCUAUACCAUUUCACCCACUUAUUUUAGUCAUGUUGAUUUGAUUUCAGUUUUUGGCUAGCAAUUUCUUUUAAACUCAAGUGACCCACAACAAACAACAAAACAACUACAGUGAAAGCCCUUUUCAGUGGAAGAUGUCAGAAAUCUCAAAACCCUUGGCCUGACUCAGAACUACCAUGUGCAAAUCAGUACUCUCAAUGUUUGAAAUAAAACUGAAAAAAAAAAAAAAAAACUUUUUGAAGCACCUUAACGUGGCCAUCCAUUCAAGGAAUGGGUGCCACUUUUUUCUUUGAGCACCUUAUUGACGUGUUUUGCUAUCUGCUGUCUUUCUGUUACCUGUUGGCUGAAUGGCUAGCUGUUAACACACACGCAUGCCCAGAGCAGAGGUAUGGGCAUGCGUGGUCUCAAUGAAGUUUACUGUGGUGACUGCUGAAAGGUGAACCCGGUUCCUGAUCUUCCCGCCACAGUGUUGUGAUAAGAUUCGAAGAAACCCUAUUCCCGGCACAGAAAUGUUUCUUAUCACGUUGUAUCCUAGUAUGGAAAGGAAUAUGGUCCCUUUUUUGCAAUUGCUACUGUACACACACACACACCACACCCACACACAUGCACAAACACAUUCAUUCGUCCAAGUGGUAUUUUCAGUGUCUGUGUGGGUGUCACUGUCUACGCAGUUUCUAUUUCCCAGUGAGUUUUGAAUGGAGGGCAACUUUUCUAACCAGAUUGUCUCUUCAGACUGAAGACCUGGGAAUUCAAUCUGUGCACCGUACAAACACAUGUCACCACCAACACACACAUCCACCCACCCAUCAAUAUAUAUACGUGGUUUGGGAUGAGCAGGUCAAUAGUUUUGAGAGGGAGUUUGUUCCUUUUUUUUUUUUUCAUUAUACUCUUAAAUUGUUGUCAGUUAUCAAACAAACAAACAACAAAUUGUUUUGA
rnacentral:lncRNA from 1 species